CGCUGGCGGCGUGCCUAAUACAUGCAAGUCGAACGCACUCUCGUUUAGAUUGAAGGAGCUUGCUCCUGAUUGAUAAACAUUUGAGUGAGUGGCGGACGGGUGAGUAACACGUGGGUAACCUGCCCUAAAGUGGGGAUAACAUUUGGAAACAGAUGCUAAUACCGCAUAAAACCUAACACCGCAUGGUGUAGGGUUGAAAGAUGGUUUCGGCUAUCACUUUAAGAUGGACCCGCGGUGCAUUAGUUAGUUGGUGAGGUAAAGGCUCACCAAGACCGUGAUGCAUAGCCGACCUGAGAGGGUAAUCGGCCACACUGGGACUGAGACACGGCCCAGACUCCUACGGGAGGCAGCAGUAGGGAAUCUUCCACAAUGGACGAAAGUCUGAUGGAGCAACGCCGCGUGAGUGAAGAAGGUUUUCGGAUCGUAAAACUCUGUUGUUGGAGAAGAAUGUAUCUGAUAGUAACUGAUCAGGUAGUGACGGUAUCCAACCAGAAAGCCACGGCUAACUACGUG
rnacentral:rRNA from 1 species